rnacentral:rRNA from 1 species
AGCGAACGCUGGCGGCAGGCCUAACACAUGCAAGUCGAGCGGCCGUAGCAAUACGGCAGCGGCAGACGGGAGAGUAACACGUGGGGACGUACCCUUCGGUUCGGAAUAACUCAGGGAAACUUGAGCUAAUACCGGAUACGUCCGUAAGGAGAAAGAGUUAUCGCCGAGGGAUCGGCCCGCGUCCGAUUAGCUAGUUGGUGGGGUAAUGGCCCACCAAGUCGACGAUCGGUAGCUGGUCUGAGAGGAUGAUCAGCCUCACUGGGACUGAGACACGGCCCAGACUGCUACGGGAGGCAGCAGUGGGGAAUAUUGGACGAUGGGCGCAAGCCUGAUCCAGCCAUGCCGCGUGGGUGAUGAAGGCCCUAGGGUUGUAAAGCCCUUUCGGCGAGGAAGAUAAUGACGGUACCCGCAGAAGAAGCCCCGGCUAACUUCGUGCCAGCCGCCGCAGUAACAC